CAAUGACUUGGAAGAGAACCCAGAGCCUGAUAUGAGAGUGCAAUCCAGGCAGACACCUUGAGGUCUUUAGCAGAAGACUGAGCUAACCUGUACCCAGAUUCAUGACCAAACAGAAACUACACGCCAGGUGAUAAAAGGAUGGAAUGCUUUAACACUCCUCCCCACCUGCCAUAGUCCUCCUGAUUUGAUUCUGGUUUUGCUCCUUCGGACUUAAAUGAUCUUUCUGGUGAGGAAGUCAAGGCCUGGAGAGUUUAAAUACUUUGCAGAAACUCCCACAGCUUGUAGGCUACCAAGGGAAGAUUCAAAUCCACAUGGGUUGAUUCUAAACCUCAAGUUCAAAAAUAAAUAAACAAAACGAACAAAGAAACCUCAAGUUCCUAGGUUCCUACUCUUGUCAUUUUAAUGGUAGAUAUAAAUUUAUUCAUUCUAAGGACAUCCUAUAAUUUAGUUAGAAAAAGGUAGA